UCACAGUUGAAGUCGGGCAUCUUGGGCAGGAUCAUGCCCGCGGUGGACGCGCGCAGCCACUGGUCCAGCUGGAAGGUGCCGGCGCCCAGCUUGAUGGGGUCGACGGGGUGCGCGGGGUGCGCGCCCUGCACCUGCGGGUCCGUCCUGUCUUCGGAACGAGGUUUAUAACGCCCGGCCCAGGCCGGCUUCUUCUGCAGCUGCAGCCCGAGGGCCCUCUCAGAACCAGCCCGGCUGUGACCUGCAGUUCCCCAAACUAUUUUCAUGAUUCAGAGGCUGCAGCUGUGGACGACUGGUGACCGGCAGCUUCCUCACAACAAUGCACCUGCUCAUGCACCACGUCUCGUGCACAGUGUUUUGGAGAAACAGCCGAUCACCCAGAGUACAUGGCUAGAUGCCUUCUGGACAGACUUCAUAUGUUAAUCAUAAAGACAAUUAAAGACAACAUUUAAAACGCCAAAAUAAAAACUACGCACAUAAGACCAGAAGAAAAUCAUAGCCAACCGCGGGGAAAAGACAGGUGCAGCAAGAUCUUCGAAGUCCUCCUCUGGCCACGCCUCAGGUGGACCCCAAGUGGGGGCGGGCAGCUGUGGGCUGCAGCCUGUCUGUUCCCCACUCGGGCAUCCCCCCUCCAGGGCCCCUCCAAGCUGGGGGGAGGUCGUUCCCCCCCCCCACUGCGGUGAGAGGGGCGGGCACAGAGGAACGGACUUAGACAAGAGCUAGUGAAA